rnacentral:rRNA from 1 species
CUUCCUACGGGACGCAGCAGUGAGGAAUAUUGGUCAAUGGGAGAGAUCCUGAACCAGCCAAGCCGCGUGAGGGAAGACGGCCCUAUGGGUUGUAAACCUCUUUUGUCGGAGAACAAAACCCGGGACGAGUCCCGGACUGCGUGUAUCCGAAGAAAAAGCAUCGGCUAACUCCGUGCCAGCAGCCGCGGUAAUACGGUGGAUGCGAGCGUUAUCCGGCUUUAUUGGGUUCAAAGGGGGCGUAGGCGGUCCGU